AACGCGAAGAACCUUACCAAGGCUUGACAUAUAGGGAAAAGUGGCAGAGAUGUCAUGUCCGCAAGGGCUCUAUACAGGUGGUGCAUGGUUGUCGUCAGCUCGUGUCGUGAGAUGUUGGGUUAAGUCCCGCAACGAGCGCAACCCUCGUUCUGUGUUGCCAGCAUUUAGUUGGGGACUCACAGGAGACUGCCGGGGUUAACUCGGAGGAAGGUGGGGAUGACGUCAAGUCCUCAUGGCCCUUAUGUCUUGGGCUGCACGCAUGCUACAAUGGCCGGUACAGAGGGCUGCAAUACCGUAAGGUGGAGCGAAUCCCAAAAAGCCGGUCUCAGUUCGGAUUGAGGUCUGCAACUCGACCUCAUGAAGUUGGAGUUGCUAGUAAUCGUAGAUCAGCAACGCUACGGUGAAUACGUUCCCGGGUCUUGUACACACCG
rnacentral:rRNA from 1 species